CCUCUCCUCCAGAAUGUCCGUCCCUCCAGCAGGCUGUCCGUGGAAACCCGCCUCUGUGUCUUGGCUCUUCCGAGCUCACCUCCCAGCUGGUGAGUGACACCAGACAGUCAUCUGCCCCCCUCCGGCCCCCACUUUUCAUCUGCAGGAACAACACCUACCUCCAUAGCUACUGAGAGAGCAAAAUGAGUUAACACACAGAGACUAGCCCACCGCCCUGGAAGUGUCCCUUGUCACUGUCCUGGGUAACCUCCACUACUGCUCCUUGAGCCCCAGCUGGGCAGGGUCCCCUGUCUCGUCCCCUCUGGGGGUGCCCAGGAUCCCACAGGGCCCGGCACAGAGCAGACACACACAGUGUGGGCUGAAGCGCUAACCCCUAAGCUUUCAAGGCCACCAGCGGUCCCUAACACUCUCAGCAUUUUGGGGCAGGCCCAGCUGUGAAAGACGCCCCACAGCCCAUGGGAGCCCGGCUGUGAUCUGAGGCUGGGGGUCUCUGCCUUUCCUGGCACACACGCCACCGGCACCUCCCUGGACGCCCCCACCGACUCCGGCAGAGGCUACAGAGGCAGGCAGGGAUAACCCUGGGCUUGGUCAGAGCAGAACAGGGCAGCUGGGGCUUCCGCAUCUCCUGGGGAGGGGCCCGGGCGGUGCUUGGGGGGAGGGGGGAGACAGGGGAGUCUAUUUUCUGGCCCCAGAGCCAGCAGAGUCAGCGGGGCUCCCUGGCUGAGGCACUGGUCUCAGCCCUUCCCUCAUCUGGCAAACUUUGUUCCAACUUUAAGCCAAAACCCUCACGGGCGAAUUCUGACCUGGGAUCAGAGGAGACCUGCUAGGGUCUCGUGGUCACCUGGUCGGGUAGGGUAGGUGCUGGCCCACGCGGCCUGGCUAUCAUCCAGGCCAGGCGCAAACGCGGGGUUUGGGGAGCCGGGCCAACGUGGAAAGACCGACCGGCCCUGGCGCCUGCUGCCCGGGGCGUGUGGAGCUCCCAGGCCGGGCACCCCGCACGGAGGCGCGAGGCUGUGGCCCGAGGCGGACGGCGCGGUGGCGCCUGGAGGCUGCCGCCCUCCCCGGGCGAGGCGGCUUCCCCACCCCCACCCGUUGCCCCAAAUCGGCACCAG
rnacentral:lncRNA from 1 species